rnacentral:rRNA from 1 species
UUGGUAGGUGGUCUUGUUUGUCUAAGGUGAAAUCCCAUGGCUUAACUGUGGAAGUGCCUUAGAAACGGCAAGACUAGAGUCCUAGAGGGGUUCGUGGAAUUCCCGGUGUAGCGGUGAAAUGCGUAGAGAUCGGGAGGAACACCAGCGGCGAAGGCGGCGAACUGGAUAGUAACUGACACUCAACAACGAAAGCGUGGGGAGCAAACA